rnacentral:lncRNA from 1 species
UGCCGUUCAAGAUCCUCAUUGAGGAGAAGGAAUAUUUCACCGAGGAUGAAUCGUUCAUCUUCGAAGUGAUUCGACAAUCUCACUCCUUUGAAUAUUUCUAGGAGAGAUAUUUUGAUGGAGGUGCGAAUCGAGCUGCCUCCGCCUCCAAAGAUGCAGACAAGCUCGAGGCACCACGAUCCAGACAAGUAUUGCCUUUAUUAUCAUGACCACAGUCACGAUACCGAAGAUUGUCACCAACUCAAAGAGAAAAUUGAGCGUUUGAUCCAAGAAUGGAGGUUGGAUCGAUUCAUCCGAUGACAAGAUCCUCCACGCCGAUACCCUUCA